rnacentral:tRNA from 1 species
GCCAUCUUAGCUCAGUUGGUAGAGCGUAGCAUCCGUAACGCUAAGGUCCGGAGUUGACCUAGUUUUUAUUGACCGGAGGGAAUAUAAAAACGGAAAUACUCUCGUGGUGCGAUCCUCCGAGAUGGCU